UACAGCGAUUUCGGUCUUGGUGCCGUUUCUUAAGGGAAGCGGUGAAAAGGGAAUCAGGUGAAAGUCCUGAGCAGUCCGGCUGACGUAAGGAGAUAGCGUGUUUUCAAAAUUGCCACUGGGAUAUUUAAAUAUAGUCCGGGAAGGCGGAAACAAGCGAUGACCUCCAAGCCGUAAGACCUGCCAAUGACUAUGAGGGUAA
rnacentral:ncRNA from 2 species